rnacentral:rRNA from 1 species
AGUGAACGCUGGCGGUAGGCCUAACACAUGCAAGUCGAACGGCAGCACGGGAGAGCUUGCUCUCUGGGUGGCGAGUGGCGGACGGGUGAGGAAUACAUCGGAAUCUACUCUGUCGUGGGGGAUAACGUAGGGAAACUUACGCUAAUACCGCAUACGACCUACGGGUGAAAGCAGGGGACCUUCGGGCCUUGCGCGAUUGAAUGAGCCGAUGUCGGAUUAGCUAGUUGGCGGGGUAAAGGCCCACCAAGGCGACGAUCCGUAGCUGGUCUGAGAGGAUGAUCAGCCACAAUGGAACUGAGACACGGUCCAGACUCCUACGGGAGGCAGCAGUGGGGAAUAUUGGACAAUGGGCGCAAGCCUGAUCCAGCCAUACCGCGUGGGUGAAGAAGGCCUUCGGGUUGUAAAGCCCUUUUGUUGGGAAAGAAAUCCAGCUGGCUAAUACCCGGUUGGGAUGACGGUACCCAAAGAAUAAGCACCGGCUAACUUCGUGCCAGCAGCCGCAGUAA